UACGGGGGGGGUAAGCGUUGUUCGGAAUUACUGGGCGUAAAGGGCUCGUAGGCGGCCAACUAAGUCGGACGUGAAAUCCCUCAGCUUAACUGGGGAACUGCGUCCGAUACUGGAUGGCUUGGAUUUGGGAGAGGGAUGCGGAAUUCCAGGUGUAGCGGUGAAAUGCGUAGAUAUCUGGAGGAACACCGGUGGCGAAGGCAGCUGGCUACACAAAUAUUGACACUGAGGCACGAAAGCGUGGGGAUCAAACAGG
rnacentral:rRNA from 1 species